rnacentral:lncRNA from 1 species
UUCCAAAUAAGCCUAAAGUCCCAAGCCCUAGAUCUGAAUCCAGGGGUGGCAUUAAGAAUUAGAGCUCUGUGGCGCAUGCCUGUAAUCCCAGCUACUUGGGAGGCUGAGGCAGAAAAAUUGCUUGAACCCGGAGGUGAAGGUUGCAGUGAGCUGAGAUCACGCAACUGCACUCUAGUCUGGGCAACAAGAGCGAAACUCCAUCUCAAAAAAAAAAAAAGAAAAAAAAAAAAAGAAAGAAAAGAAUUAGAGCUUUGGUAAAUAAAGAAGGAAUUUUUUGGCUUUUCUCUUCAUGAUGGACAUUUUGACCCCUUCAGAAUGGACAUGAGGUGGCCUGAGAGCUGAACCCAGGCAGCCCCCACUUGUGUCCCAGUGCCUCCGUGUGACUUGUGGAGUGGAUGCCACACCUGUGAUCACAGGAGUCCAGCCUGGUCAACGCCUCACAAAAGAAGGGCAUCAGCUGCUGCGGAUUGAUUUAGUCAGAGCAAGGGUGGAACGAAGUCCUGUGAUAAAGUUGAACGAAGAUGGGACGUCAGCAAAUCCAUUGGCAGCCAUUUUCUUUCUACUCUCAAAGCCCCCCAGCCUCCCUAUUAACUACAUGAGGUGGUAGAUGGCAGUGGAUGCCCCCAUGAGUUGGUGAGAUUUAAGGUCCCUGGUGAGGAAGCCCAGAAGCCACAAGCACAUUUGUGACGGUAGCGCCUGGGGCAAUAGUCCUCCUUGAUUAGGGCUAGAGAGCAGGCCUUGCUUCAACAAUUUCUGUGAGACACUGUCAUAGCGUGUAAAGGGAAGGCUGGCCCUCGGGCAAUGGGUAGUGGACUCUUGGAUUGACUGUCAGUAAUGGAGGGAUUUUAGAUUUUUUUCUUUUUUUCUUUUUUUUUUUUUUUUUAUGUUUUUCGAGACAGAGUCUGGCUCUGUCGCCCAGGCUGGAGGGCAGUGGUGCGAUCUCAGCUCACUGCAACCUCUGCCUCCCAGGUUCAAGCGAUUCUCCUGCCUCAGCCUCCUGAGUAGCUGGGAUUACAGGCACAUGCCACCACACCCGGCUAAUUUUUGUAUUUUUAGUAGAGAUGGUUUUCACCAUGUUGGCCAGACUGGUCUCAAACUUCUCACCUCAAAUGAUCUGCCUGCCUCAGCCUCCCGAAGUGCUGGGAUUACAGGCAUGAGCCACUGCUCCCAGCCAGGAUUUUAGAUUUAGCUGCAACCUCAAAGCUCUGGGACUCAUGAGUCCGGCUGGCAGCUAGGAGGGCAAACUGUGUCCACGGGGAUAGUUUCUGUCUGUGCAGAGCCAAGGCCCAAACAUAUGUUGGCCAGGUUAGUGCCUGCUCCCUCCCAUAGUUACAGUAACAAGGCUUAGAGCCUGAAAACAAAUCCUUCUUUAACCAUAGGUCUUUUUAUCAGAGUGACCUUCUUUUCUUCUAACCCCCCAAAUAAGGAAAACAUAAGACAGUUGCCUAUUUUCACCCAAUGCCACUUCGAGAAAGUGCGGCCCUUAAAGAAACCUCAUAAUAAAGUUUUCUAUUAAAAAAAAAAUUGUUGACGGGGCACGGUGGUCAUGCCUGUAAUCCCAGCAGUUUGGGAGGCCGAGGCGGGCAGAUCACUUGAGGUCAGGAGUUCAAGAACAGCCUGGCCAACAUGGUGAAACCCUGUCUCUACUAAAAGUACAAAAACUAGCCAGGCAUGGUGGUGCGCGCCUGUAAUCCCAGCUACUUGGGAGGCUGAGGCAGGAGAAUCGCUUGAACCUGGGAGGCAGAGGUUGCAGUGAGCUGAGACUGCAUCAUUGCACUCCAGCCUGGCAACAAGAAUGAAAU